ensembl:lncRNA
UUCGCUUUUUUCUUGGUUUUUCCUCCGUUCUAAAACUCGUCUUUUCUUGGUUUCCUUUGCUCUAUCAGCGGCUUCCUUGGUUUUCCUACGCUCUAGGACGUGAACACCAACUUUCUUGUUUUCCUCCUCUCUAACCCUGCUUUUAAUUGUUUUCUCUGCUCUAACUUCACUUUUCUUGUUUUCCUCUGCUCUACUCCGAUUUUCAGAUAUUUUCCUCCGCUCUAACCCCGCCUUUUUCUUGGUUUUCCUCCCGCUCUAUACUGGCGUUUUCUUGUUUUCCUCCGCUCUAACUUCAACUUUUUUCUUGGUUUUCCUCUGCUCUAGCCCCGAUUUUCCCUGAUUGGUUCCUCCGCUCUAACCCCGGCUUUUUCUUGGUUUUGCCUCCGGCUCGUAACUGCGCUUCUUCUUGGUUUCCUCGCUCUUAACUUCGCUUUUCUUGGUUUUCCUUUGCUCUACACCGCUAUUCCUUGGGUUUUCGCUACGCUCUAGAACACCACUUUUCUUGGUUUUCCUUCCCGCACUAACCCUGCUUUUAAUUGGUUUUCCACCGCCUCUAACCCCGCUUUUGUUGGUUUUUCCUCAUGCUCGUAAACGCCCGAUUUUCUUGGAAUUUCCUCCACUAUAACCUGCUUUUUUGUUUUCCUCCGCUCUCACCCUGCUUUCUUGGUUUUCAUCCGGUUAACUUUGCUUUUCUUGGUUUUCCCUUUGCUCUAACCCUGCUUUUCUUGGUUUUCCUCCGCUCUAACUUCAUUUUUUCUUGGUUUUCCGUCCUUUUCAACCCGCUUUUUCUUGGUUUUCCUCCGCUCUAAUUCCCGCUUCUCUUGGUUUUCUCCUCCACUCUAACCGCGCUAUUCUUUGGUUUUUUCUCCACUCAAACGGGCAUGCUUUUCUUGAUGCGUGCUUGCUCUAAGCGCUUUUUCUUUGUUUCCCCUCUCUAACUAUUUUUCUUGGUUUUCCUACGCUCUAACAAUCCCACUUUUCUUGGUUUUCAUCCGCAAUGAAACAACGUUUUUUCUCCCUUGGUUUUCGCUCCGCUCUAACUUGCAAUUUCCUAGUUU